GAUGAACGCUGGCGGCGUGCCUAAUACAUGCAAGUCGAGCGAACGGACGAGAAGCUUGCAUCUCUGAUGUUAGCGGCGGACGGGUGAGUAACACGUGGAUAACCUACCUAUAAGACUGGGAUAACUUCGGGAAACCGGAGCUAAUACCGGAUAAUAUUUUGAACCGCAUGGUUCAAAAGUGAAAGACGGUCUUGCUGUCACUUAUAGAUGGAUCCGCGCUGCAUUAGCUAGUUGGUAAGGUAACGGCUUACCAAGGCAACGAUGCAUAGCCGACCUGAGAGGGUGAUCGGCCACACUGGAACUGAGACACGGUCCAGACUCCUACGGGAGGCAGCAGUAGGGAAUCUUCCGCAAUGGGCGAAAGCCUGACGGAGCAACGCCGCGUGAGUGAUGAAGGUCUUCGGAUCGUAAAACUCUGUUAUUAGGGAAGAACAUAUGUGUAAGUAACUGUGCACAUCUUGACGGUACCUAAUCAGAAAGCCACGGCUACUACGUG
rnacentral:rRNA from 1 species